rnacentral:rRNA from 1 species
UACGUAUGGUGCAAGCGUUAUCCGGAUUUACUGGGCGUAAAGGGAGCGCAGGCGGCGCGCCAAGUCUGAUGUGAAACCCCGGGGCUCAACCCCGGGCAUGCAUUGGAAACUGGCGGGCUGGAGUGCCGGAGAGGUAAGCGGAAUUCCUAGUGUAGCGGUGAAAUGCGUAGAUAUUAGGAGGAACACCAGUGGCGAAGGCGGCUUACUGGACGGCAACUGACGUUGAGGCUCGAAAGCGUGGGGAGCAAACAGG